AUACGGAGGAUCCGAGCGUUAUCCGGAUUUAUUGGGUUUAAAGGGUGCGUAGGCGGACUUAUAAGUCGGCGGUGAAAUUCUUAAGCUUAACUUAAGGCUUGCCGUUGAUACUGUUUGUCUUGAGUUUAGUUGAGGUAGGCGGAAUGUGGUGUGUAGCGGUGAAAUGCUUAGAUAUACCACAGAACACCGAUUGCGUAGGCAGCUUACUAAACUAUCACUGACGCUGAUGCACGAAAGCGUGGGGAUCAAACAGGAUUAGAUACCCUGGUAGUCCACGCCGUAAACUAUGAUUACUGGUUGUUUGCGAUACAUUGUAAGUGACUGAGUGAAAGCAUUAAGUAAUCCACCUGGGGAGUACGUCGGCAACGAUGAA
rnacentral:rRNA from 1 species